rnacentral:rRNA from 1 species
GAUGAACGCUGGCGGCGUGCCUAAUACAUGCAAGUCGAGCGAACAGACGAGGAGCUUGCUCCUCUGACGUUAGCGGCGGACGGGUGAGUAACACGUGGAUAACCUACCUAUAAGACUGGGAUAACUUCGGGAAACCGGAGCUAAUACCGGAUAAUAUCUUGAACCGCAUGGUUCAAUAGUGAAAGACGGUUUUGCUGUCACUUAUAGAUUGAUCCGCGCCGCAUUGGCUAGUUGGUAAGGUAACGGCUUACCAAGGCAACGAUGCGUAGCCGACCUGUGAGGGGGAUCGGCCACACUGGAACUGAGACACGGUCCUGACUCCUACGGGAGGCAGCAGUAGGGAAUCGUCCGCAAUGGGCGAAAGCUUGACGGAGCAACGGCGCGUGAGUGAUGAAGGUCUUCGGAUCGGAAAACUCUGUUAGUAGGGAAGAACAAAUGUGUAAGGAACUAUGCACGUCGUGACGGUACCUAAUCAGAAAGCCACGGCUAACUACGUG